GUGCCGGUACCGGUACCGAUGGACAGGUUCGUAGUUAAACGCCCCCGCGGGGACGCUGGGAGCAGCGGGCAGAGGCCGCGGCCGGAGGAGCCCGCUCCGGAGCAGCCCCGCUGGCAGGAGAUCCGGGCCGAGGGCCUGAGCUGCGACUACCGGGUGCUGUUCGGCAAGGCCGAGGCUGACGAGAUCCUGCAGCAGCUGGAGGAGCAGGUGGAGUACUUCGAAGGUGAAAUGACAAAAGUGCAAGUGUUUGGCAAAUGGCAUGAGAUUCCAAGGAAGCAGGUAACCUAUGGAGACCCUGAGUUAACAUACACAUACUCGGGUGUUACCUUCUCCCCUAAGCCAUGGAUCCCAGUUCUGAACCGUAUCAGAGAGCGCGUCACCUCAGACACAGGACACACUUUCAAUUUCGUCCUUAUCAACAGGUACAAAGAUGGUGAGGACCACAUAGGUGAGCAUCGAGAUGACGAGAGAGAACUGGUUCCCCGCAGCCCCAUUGCAUCCGUGUCCUUCGGAGCUUGCAGGGACUUUGUCUUCAGGCACUGUGCUUCCCGAGGGAAGAAAGCAACACGCCACAUCAAGCCCAUUAAGCUGCAGCUAGCCCAUGGGAGCCUGCUGAUGAUGAAGUACCCCACCAAUGUGUAUUGGUACCACAGUCUGCCCCCCCGCAAGAGAGUGCUUGCUCCAAGAGUCAACCUCACAUUUAGGAAAGUGAUGGCUAUAGCCAAGAAAUGAAAUAUUCAGCCAUUGAGUUCCGGGUCUUUUAACUCUGAAAAUAGAAGUUUUCUUUCCCAAAGUAACUCAGUUUCUCAUUCACUGUCUUUGAUGAUCCAAGGUACAAAUUAAACCAAGAGAGAAGACAGCAUUCUCGGUAACUUGCUAAUAAAGACUGACUGCUGAUCUUAAAUGACAGGGAUACUUAGUGAAAUGCUGCUGUAGCUCUGCUGAUACAUGUUUUUAAUGAGCAAGACCCUUGUUUUGCUGAGGAGGAAGUUUGUUCUCAACUGAUCUGCAUCCAGCCAGUUUGUAGCCUCUGAAACAGUUUAUAAUUACUCUAAAGUACAGGCUGUGACCAUUGGAAGCUGAUGCUGUUCAACAGGGAUCCAUUCUGACUGCCUAGAAGCCAUCAUCUUCCAUGCUCCUGGUGAACCCUGAGGAAAUGAAGGACCUUCCAAAGUCACCAACAACAGGCCUUGUGAUGCCUUUGACGCCAAGCUCUGGUGCUGUACCCUGGAGUGCACCCGCUCAUAGAACAGCAGGUAGGCACUGCAGGAGAGGACCUCCUGCAGGCUGGCUUUGCGGACGGUGUCGUCUGAGAUCCACAGCCACUGGCUGCUGACAGCGAAGGGGCUGCGGGGGGAAGGCGGGGAGCGACGGUAGGUCACAAAGUGUCCCGAGUGCAUGUCGCCGUGGUGAACCACCACUGCCAUCAGGCGGUAAAGGUACACGGGGGAGCUGAAGGACACACAAACAGGAAAAGGUCAGCAUCACACCUGGACCAGAUGCAGCCCCAGUUGCUUUGUCUUCAGCUGCAGUUUCUUUGUAGAGCAAAUUGGUGCUCUAAGAGACAUGCUGCCUUGCAGUUACUUUUCUGUACAGCAAGUAUCCACUGCAGUGCUGCCUUAUUCUAUUCCCAAGAAAACCAUUUAUUUUAAGAGCAUAUGCUAUAGAGGGUUACUGUGUUCUGUACAGCAUCAUUUGCAACAGCAUGUUCCAUCAAACCUACCAAAGUGCCACCACUCCGUGCUUAAAGCACUGUUACUGGAGAGAAAAGCUACUAUAGAAAACUGUGCUUUUAACCAAAAAGGUAAAAUGGCAGCAGGUAACCCAUGAUUUACUGCAACCAGAGAAAGGAGAUUUUGAGCUCUGCUUGCAGCAGAUUCUACUGCCAUGGAGAAAUGGAGCCAAAGAGAACCACCACAAAUCAGCCAAGAGAAAAGCAAGUAUUUCCAUACAGAAGCUGGGGUAAUGUGAAAUUCAGUGACUGAGCCUCAGAAUGAAGACAUAAUAAAGGAAGCUCUAAUUGGAAGGAACAGAAGUUACACAACAGGACACCACUCUAACUUACCUGCAUUCUGGGAAUGCAGCAAGUGGAAAAGUUGCCGAGGACAUUAAAAAGGAAGAGGGGCAGGCACCAUUCAUGAAGUGUGGUUUAGUGCCUGAUGGGUGUUCUGCACCUGCAAGAGAAAGGAGACAGUCACUCAACCCAAAUGCUACUGUUAGUAUUGCUAAUAACUGCAGGUGCUUCUGUUCCUGCAACACAUCACAGAAUACAAAGGUGGUUUAUUUAAUUCAUGACAUACCACAAUCCCUUAGAAGAUGCCAUUCCCAGCAUCUUCUUAUGCUUGUCCUGAUGCCUUAGAAGACAUCACUAACAAGUCCCUAGGAGUUCCCCAUUCAACAUUCCUUCAUCCUUUGGUCAUAAAUCCUGUUUGGUGCUAUCUGGGAAUUUUUGUUUGUUUUUAAGGUUUAAUAUUUAAAAGGGUCAAAUUAAAUGAUCAAAAGAGAACUGUAAACUUGGAGCAGGGGGUCCUAAUGCUUGCUGGAAAAGGGAUUUCUAUCUGUCCUCUUUGCACAGCUCCAAAUAAAGAUACUGCUUUUGCAUUCAUUCUGCAGAUUAGAAUGGUUUAUCACUGAAAUGCAGAAAUACCUGAUCUCUUCUAUUUCACAGUACCUGCAGGUUUCACUGCUAUCCCAUCCUUUGUUCCAGGUGCUGUCUCUUCAGAGUUCUUCUGAUUCAGCUCAGUCUGGCUGGACUUGUGAACAGGAACAUGGUAUUUGUAGAUGUCCAUGAUGAGGAACUCAUUGAACUGCACGUGUUCAUGACGCUUCAGAGGAGUGCCUUGGUUUGACCAGCUCAGUCUUUGCAGAUGGAUACACAAACACUGAGGGAGCUUCAGCAAUAUUCCAGAGAAAAGGAGAGUCAAAAUCCCAUUUUCAAUGAAAAGAAACUGCUGUGCAAGUUCAAAGUAUACUAAAGGACCUGGUGAGCCUAGUGGAUAAGGAAGUGCAUCACAGAACUGUUCCCUUAUGUGCUACUAGGAAUGCUCACUCCAGUUUGUUGGAGUGAAUUGUAAGACAUGGCUAAUGCUUAGUAAGUAAUGGCUUUGCACAGAGAGAGUACCAGGGAGAAAGGCCAGGGAGUUACAAAUGUCUGACAUUCAAAGUCAUGCCAGGGUUAACCUCUGUCAAUAAGUACAUAUUACUGUUGAUGGCUCUGAGGAUGAAAACUGGACAUCAAGCAAAGAGAUGAAAGAAAGAAAUUGCUGUAUAGUGGGAUUUAAAAUAGAUUUGGAGCUUGCCUCACCUUUCCUAACUUUAACUGCUUAACAAACGUUGUUCUCUGGUUUUCUAUGCUCUGUCCAUUCAGAAUCCCUUCUGCCUGAAUCUGAAAUCAAGAGAAUAAAGCCAUUUGAUUACCUGCUGUGUUUGAUUACACAUAAUAGUGCAGGUCUGCACACUGCAGACAAAAGCAAUUCUCUAUCUAGAACUAUGCUUGGUGCAUUAAUAACACCUGCGGUUUUCUAGGAACUUUAAUAGUUGUCUGUCCUAAUGGAUCAGAACUGUAAGCCAAAAUCAAGCCACAAGGAGCAUUUACAGAACAAGCCCAGUGCCCAGGUUUAUGUGUAGUCACAUGCCAUUGCUGUUAGCUUUCCAACGAGCCACUCUGGCUCUGUGCUGUCAUCAAACUACAGGCAACUGCUUAAAAUACCAGACAAAAAAAUAUGCCAAAUAUUAUCUAAACAAUACCUGGUAAUUACAGAAUCAAAUACUUGUCAGUUUUGUAAUAUUAGUAAUAAAUAAAGCUUUAAAGUAGUCUGUGAGAUAAGAACU